GAUGAACGCUGGCGGCGUGCCUAAUACAUGCAAGUCGAGCGAACAGAUGAGGAGCUUGCUCCUCUGACGUUAGCGGCGGACGGGUGAGUAACACGUGGAUAACCUACCUAUAAGACUGGGAUAACUUCGGGAAACCGGAGCUAAUACCGGAUAAUAUAUUGAACCGCAUGGUUCAAUAGUGAAAGACGGUUUUGCUGUCACUUAUAGAUGGAUCCGCGCCGCAUUAGCUAGUUGGUAAGGUAACGGCUUACCAAGGCAACGAUGCGUAGCCGACCUGAGAGGGUGAUCGGCCACACUGGAACGGAGACACGGUCCAGACUCCUACGGGAGGCAGCAGUAGGGAAUCUUCCGCAAAGGGCGAAAGCCUGACGGAGCAACGCCGCGGGAGUGAUGAAGGUCUUCGGAUCGUAAAACUCUGUUAUUAGGGAAGAACAAAUGUGUAAGUAACUAUGCACGUCUUGACGGUACCUAAUCAGAAAGCCACGGCUAACUACGUG
rnacentral:rRNA from 1 species